GUCCAGAACAAUAUUGUGAAAAAUUGUGCGGCAAUCAUCCAAGAAUUUCGUCCAAUAUUAUUCAGCAAUCAUCUUCUUCAACAAAUUCCAAACCCAUUUCAAGCGAACAUCCAACUAAUAGCAAUUGAUUUCGAUCAAUCCACUUGCCAAGAUCACUCUGCCGUACCUUAAUUCGAACCCACUAAUUUGAUUUCCAACUGGUCGAUCAUGGAGGAGGUAAAGAAAGGCAUAACACAUCGAAUUUCAAAUCACAUCUGAUUGAAGAUAUUGAUGCGAAUGGGUAUUUGGUCAUCAAUAACAGCCCAAACGUUGAA
rnacentral:lncRNA from 1 species